rnacentral:lncRNA from 13 species
GAGUUGAUGUGGAUGUCUUCAGAUCAACCUGAUUCAACUCACUCUCUCCUUCGACCUCCAGUGUCAGAGUUGAUGUGGAUGUCUUCAGAUCAACCUGAUUCAACUCACUCUCUCCUUCGACCUCCAGUGUCAGAGUUGAUGUGGAUGUCUUCAGAUCAACCUGAUUCAACUCACUCUCUCCUUUGGCCUCCUAGAUUAGAAGAUCUUUAUAAGCUAAAGCUUGGGAAAUUCAUUUGGCAUUUUAAUCUUCACUGCGUAAUUAAAACGCAAUGCAUCAUACCUCCUGUGACUGAGAUGGUUUGGCAACAGCAUCGUCCAACUCACGCUCUCCUUCAACCUCCUGUGACUGAGAUGGGAUGACAAUGGCCUCGUCCAACUCACUCUCUCCUUCNNNNNNNNNNNNNNNGAAUUCGAAUCAUAGAAGUAAAAUGAAUCAUUCUAGAAUUUGAAUAGAUUCACUCAAAUUCUAUGGUUCCAAUACUCUGAGAUGACUCGGCCUAUCCAGAGUCAUAUAUUUAGAGAAUUCUGCCAACUUUUAGGCAGGACUCCAUGUUAGCGCCUUUGAGCCUUUCAUUUAAAAUUUUAAAAUAUGUCAAUUAUUAAAUAAUGUUCAGUUACAUAGCAUUGUUAAAAAUGUAAAUAUUGCCCAUGGGGAGCCAGCUCUCAUAUGNNNNNNNNNNUCUAGUGACAGAGUUGGGAUAUCUGUCUCUAGAACAGCCUCUUCCAACUUGGUCUGUCUCUCAGCCUCUCUGAUCUGUGUCUAGAUACAGAAAAAGGAAUCUAUCAAAGGUCACUCACUAUAACAUGCUAUAAUGUGAGUGUGAGGAUGUGUUCCAAUUAUAGAAUUCGAAUCAUAGAAGUAAAAUGAAUCAUUCUAGAAUUUGAAUAGAUUCACUCAAAUUCUAUGGUUCCAAUACUCUGAGAUGACUCGGCCUAUCCAGAGUCAUAUAUUUAGAGAAUUCUGCCAACUUUUAGGCAGGACUCCAUGUUAGCGCCUUUGAGCCUUUCAUUUAAAAUUUUAAAAUAUGUCAAUUAUUAAAUAAUGUUCAGUUACAUAGCAUUGUUAAAAAUGUAAAUAUUGCCCAUGGGGAGCCAGCUCUCAUAUGAAUAUGUUUGAUUAUACUGUGUCGUGUAAUGUAUACAUAUUGAUGUAAAUGCAACAUAAUGCAGAUAUUUGAAUGUCCCAACUUUCCAAAUACAUGGCUCUGGGCCUACCUCUCCAUAGGUGGUGAUCUUUGACCUACUACAGAAUCUGUAUUUGUAGGCCUAUGUGAUCCUGUAACCAGUCAUUAAGGUACAUCACUUACCUGACUUCCUUAACAACAUCACUGUCAUUGAUGGGGUUAUCCAGGUCCAUGAGGGUGAGGUUAUUCCCACUGAUUCCUGAAAGACAGCACUUAUUUUGGCCAGAGCCCUAUAGAGUACCACAGUAUGAGUCAUAAUACCCAUAAAACCUAGCGGUCAAACAGUGAAAUGGUUCCAAUUGUUUUUCCACCAUUCCAUUUUCACAUAGGGGAUUUUUAGAAACACUUAAAAUAAGGGCUGUGGUUCAGGUAGGCUUACCCU